GCGGGACGUCUGCGGUACGUGUGACGUCAUCACGUUGACGUGACUUCCUGAGUGGGAGGGAGUGCCCCUUGGAGACCUGCCCGGCGCCUAAGUGAAGUUUCAGCCAACAUCUGUUGACUCCUACUCCUUAACCAAGCACCUUGCUAGGAACUAUGAGAAGAUGCCCUCAUAAUCAGACAGACACACCCCAAAAAAAUCAACGUUUACACCGUUAAGUGUGAUUAAGUGUUACGUUAGAGAAAUGCUCCAGCAGGAUCAUUGAAAGUCAUAAAGAACCAGAACAAUUCUUUUGUGUGGGAGAUUGUCCUGUGUGUAAUUCCAGAUGUUCAGCAUCCAUAGCUCACACUACAAAUGCCAAUAGACCUAAAGGAGGAUUAGAAUCCCAGUGAAGAAAGUACUCUGCUCUCAGCUACUUCAUGGCAUAGUUCAAAACAGGGCAGACACUCUCAGGAACCUGAAUCCCUAGGAUUUCGGUGCCUGGCUCUCAGGUGCUGUACUUCUGGCUGCUUCCUGGGAAGACUGUAGCACAGAUGAAACUAUCCUGACAAAGCGUUCCAUGUGAAGGCAGAAGAACAAUACUCACAUGGAGCAAAUAAAACUGACAACCAAUUUCAUCAGAGACACACUGAAUGAGACAGGGUACCUGGAAGCACCAUAGAACAAUAUCUGGAACAUCAUAAGGAUUUAAGUAAGGUCAUUAGAAUUUCAUUUUAAAUGCAGUGCGCCUCUCAGUUGCUUAUUGUAACAUGUAAAAAUAUGAAAAUUAUAGAGACAAUAAUAUUCAGAAUAAAAUUCCUGACAUAAAAUAAGCAUUUCAAAAAUAUUUGUUUUAUGAAUAUGUGAAUUCCAACAGUUUUUAGAGCUAAUUAGUAUUUUAAUAGAUUUUCCUAAGUUUUUUUUUUCCUGUGUGCUUUUUAUAAAGUGAGGUCAUACUGUAUGCAUUAUCUUAUAUUCUGCCCUUAUGGCUUUAUAUUAUAAAAUGUCCUUUCCCCAUAAGCACAAUAAACCAUUUGAAAAUAUAAUUUUAAUGACUCCCUAAAACAUUUUGUAUUUCUUAAUUUACAAUUCCCCUAUUGUUGGGCAAUAGGAUUGCUUUUUUUUUUUUGUCUUGUUUUCUAUUUUUUGUUGAAACUUUAUGACUAAAGCUGUAAUAAAUGUAAAUCUGCAUCUAUUAUUUCUUAACAUUAAUUCACAGGAGUGUUAUUAAAGGGUGAAACUGUACUAUAAUAACUAUUUUUCUGACCAGCCUUCAUUUCCCCUCAUUUUGGUGACAGUACCUUACUUUGGAGAAUCACCCUAUAUCCCAGGAGUUUGGGUUAAAGCCAACUCCACCCCUAGCUGUAAGGUGUGUGCAGGACCCACGCCUGGGAAUUAAGGCAUUUACUCUCCUGGCUGCAGUCACUGGCUCAGGACCAAAUGUGAGACCCAACUCAGAUGAGACUCAGUCUUGUGUUCUUCCAAGAACUACUGUGGAAGUUAGGGAUUGCUAACAGGGUGAUAUAAGUGACCAUUGGAAAGAGCUUGCCUUAGUAUGAAGCUAACAAGGAAGAAAGAUAGAAGCCAGAGGUUCAUUUUAAGAGAUUAGAGAUUCCUAGUAACAUCACUUCAGCAGCA